GACGAACGCUGGCGGCGUGCUUAACACAUGCAAGUCGAACGGAAAGGCCCUGCUUUUGUGGGUUGCUCGAUUGGCGAACGGGUGAGUAACACGUGAGUAACCUGCCCUUGACUUUGGGAUAACUUCAGGAAACUGGGGCUAAUACCGGAUAUGAUCUCCUGCUGCAUGGUGUUGGUUGGAGAGUUUCGGCGGUUGGGGAUGGACUCGCGGCUUAUCAGCUUGUUGGUGGGGUAGUGGCUUACCAAGGCUUUGACGGGUAGCCGGCCUGAGAGGGUGACCGGGCACCUGGGGACUGCGAUACGGACCAGAAUCCUACGGGCGGCAGCAGUGGGGAAUAUUGCAGAAUGGGGGGAAGUCUGAUGCAGCAACGCUGCGUGCGGGAUGCUGGCCUUCGGGUUGUAAACAGAUUUGGCAGGUAACGAAGCGUGAGUGACGGUAAUGGGUAAAGAAGCACCGGCUAACUACGUG
rnacentral:rRNA from 1 species